AGGGUGUAAACGCUGCAGACUUGGUGUUGGGAACCCUUCGGGGGUGCUCAGUGCCGGAGAGAAGUUGUUAAGUCUGCUACUUGGGAGUACGUCCGCAAGGAUGAAACUUAAAGGAAUUGGCGGGGGAGCACCGCAACGGGAGGAGCGUGCGGUUUAAUUGGAUUCAACGCCGAAAAACUCACCGGAUAGGACAGACAUAUGAUAGUCGGGCUGAAGACUCUACUUGAUGAUCUGAGAGGAGGUGCAUGGCGUCAGUGACU
rnacentral:rRNA from 1 species